UACGGGGGGAGCAAGCGUUGUUCGGAUUUACUGGGCGUAAAGGGCGCGUAGGCGGUCGUGACAAGUCACUUGUGAAAUCUCCGGGCUUAACUCGGAACGGUCAAGUGAUACUGUCGGACUAGAGUACAGAAGGGGCAACUAGAAUUCUCGGUGUAGCGGUGAAAUGCGUAGAUAUCAGGAGGAACACCGAUGGCGAAGGCAGGUCUCUGGGCUGACACUGACGCUCAUGCACGAAAGCUAGGGGAGCAAACAGG
rnacentral:rRNA from 1 species